rnacentral:tRNA from 1 species
GGGUCGCUAGCUCAACUGGUAGAGCAGCGGACUCUUAAUCCGUUGGUUCGGGGUUCGAGUCCCCGGCGGCCUACCA